CGCGACGAUAAUGGUGCUCAGGUGGCGCCAUCGGUCCCGCUACCAUGGCCAGUGCCUUCUUGUAGGGAAAGACGAGAUCGCCGUCGGGCGAGGGACCGAGUGUGAUGGGACCACAGAGCGGACCAUGCGCAAAUUCAUUCAUCUGAUCCGCCGAGGAGAUGACACGCACAGCUCGGGGAAUGUUGUCGCAGAAGCAAGCUAAAUUGUUCUGGAACUUGUCGCGCUCCUCCCAAAUCACCAGCUUGUCCACACGCUCCUCGUGACAGCGAGUGCACGCAUUGCUGUUGUACGGCAACUCCUUGAACGAGACCGAGUUCACCUCAAUGAUGGCCCUGGCAUACAAACGUCGAUCCGUCACGAACUUGUACUGACAACGUACAUCGCUUCCGCCGGUUCGUUUGAAGAUCAGGGAGUUGAGGGGCGAUCGAAGGCGACCGCCAGGAUGCUUCCAGGCGUACAUGACUUCGUCGCAAAGGGUGUUGGGCACGGGGUCGCCGAACCGGGUGUUGUUGAAGAAGUCAUAGUGCGCCCAGUAGUACAGUGAGCUGCCGCUAUAGCUGCCAGUCUUCGAGUCGAAUUGCACGUAGAGCGAGGGACUUGUGCUGACGAAGUCCACCUUCUCCAUGGGUCGCGAGAAGGUGUCGCAGAAGGUCUUGAUGAUGCGGGCCGGGUCCGCGUGAUCCGAGUCGUAGAUUGUCAACGAUUCCCCGCAAUCGCCUUCAUAUUUCAGUAUAGGCGAUUCGAUGCGAUUGAUGCGAAAACUGCCAAAGAGAAAUAGAGAGAGAGAGCAAACGAUGAGCGGCGAACUAAAGAUAUGUCGAUGUAAAGAUGAUAUUUCACACAGCCAAAGUCAUAAAGUGCGGGAACCCCACAAAACCCACAAAGACCUUUGGCUUUAUGCCAAGCCAACCAACCACAAUUUGGCCAGCUUUCUCCACCCUAACCCGACCCAAUAGCCGACUCCUGAUGUCAUCAACUUUGGCGUGCUGCGUCGUGGCGCAGUUUAAUAUAAAUUCCAACUGGUAACAGGUAAAA